rnacentral:rRNA from 1 species
GAUGAACGCUGGCGGCGUGCCUUAUACAUGCAAGUCGAGCGAACAGACGAGGAGCUUGUUCCUCUGACGUUAGCGGCGGACGGGUGAGUAACACGUGGAUAACCUACCUAUAAGACUGGGAUAACUUCGGGAAACCGGAGCUAAUACCGGAUAAUAUAUUUAACCGCAUGGUUCAAUAGUGAAAGACGGUUUUGCUGUCACUUAUAGAUGGAUCCGCGCCGCAUUAGCUAGUUGGUAAGGUAACGGCUUACCAAGGCAACGAUGCGUAGCCGACCUGAGAGGGUGAUCGGCCACACUGGAACUGAGACACGGUCCAGACUCCUACGGGAGGCAGCAGUAGGGAAUCUUCCGCAAUGGGCGAAAGCCUGACGGAGCAACGCCGCGUGAGUGAUGAAGGUCUUCGAAUCGUAAAACUCUGUUAUUAGGGAAGAACAAAUGUGUAAGUAACUAUGCACGUCUUGACGGUACCUGAUCAGAAAGCCACGGCUAACUACGUG